AUUCGCUAGUAAUCGCGCAUCAGCCAUGGCGCGGUGAAUACGUUCCCGGGCCUUGUACACACCGCCCGUCAAGCCAUGGGAGCCGGGGGCGCCUGAAGUCCGGGACCGCGAGGACCGGCCUAAGGCGAAACUGGUGACUGGGCUAAGUCGUAACAAGGUAUC
rnacentral:rRNA from 1 species